rnacentral:lncRNA from 1 species
NUGAUACUUGUAGAUUUUCAGCCCUUAGAUUAAGAAAUUUGCAGUCACGAUGAUAAUGGUCCUUUAAUGUUGAGUGGGUUGUUGGUGAAUAGUAUAAUCUAACGAGUGAAAAUGAUCAAAAGAGUAGAUCUAGCGACAGAAAACCAACGUGUUUUUAAAAGCACCAUAGCCGGACUUAUAUUGAUGUCCUAAUCUGAUUGCAAGGGAUAUUGAUCUGAUUAUCACCUUGUUAGAAAGAUCUUAUUGCUUUGAUCGAAUAUUUUGUGUUUCUUUUUUCUUGUUUUAAUUGGGAAUUUUU